rnacentral:rRNA from 1 species
GACGAACGCUGGCGGCGUGCCUAACACAUGCAAGUCGAACGGAGAAUCAGCAAUGAUUCUUAGUGGCGAACGGGUGAGUAACGCGUAGACAACCUGCCUUCUAGAUGGGGACAACACUGCGAAAGUGGUGCUAAUACCGAAUGUUGUAAUAAGCCUGCAUGGGCUUAAUACUAAAGGUGGCCUCUGACAUAAGCUACCACUAGAAGAUGGGUCUGGGUCUGAUUAGCUAGUUGGUGAGGUAAUGGCUCACCAAGGCGAUGAUCAGUAGCCGGUCUGAGAGGAUGAACGGCCACACUGGGACUGAGACACGGCCCAGACUCCUACGGGAGGCAGCAGUGGGGAAUCUUCCGCAAUGGACGAAAGUCUGACGGAGCAACGCCGCGUGAGUGAAGAAGGUUUUCGGAUCGUAAAGCUCUGUCUUUGAGGACGAAUGUGUCUAAUGUGAAUAAUGUUAGAUAAUGACGGUACUCGAGGAGGAAGCCACGGCUAACUACGUGCCAGCCGCCGCCGUAAUAC